rnacentral:rRNA from 1 species
AUUGAACGCUGGUGGCAGGCCUAACACAUGCAAGUCGAGCGGCAGCGGGAAAGUAGCUUGCUACUUUUGCCGGCGAGCGGCGGACGGGUGAGUAAUGCCUGGGAAAUUGCCCAGUCGAGGGGGAUAACAGUUGGAAACGACUGCUAAUACCGCAUACGCCCUACGGGGGAAAGCAGGGGACCUUCGGGCCUUGCGCGAUUGGAUAUGCCCAGGUGGGAUUAGCUAGUUGGUGGGGUAAUGGCUCACCAAGGCGACGAUCCCUAGCUGGUCUGAGAGGAUGAUCAGCCACACUGGAACUGAGACACGGUCCAGACUCCUACGGGAGGCAGCAGUGGGGAAUAUUGCACAAUGGGGGAAACCCUGAUGCAGCCAUGCCGCGUGUGUGAAGAAGGCCUUCGGGUUGUAAAGCACUUUCAGCGAGGAGGAAAGGUUGAUGCCUAAUACGUAUCAACUGUGACGUUACUCGCAGAAGAGGCACCGGCUAACUCCGUGCCAGCAGCCGCCGUAAGAC